ensembl:lncRNA
CAACAAUACAGAGACAAACAACAGGUAUAGACUAACAGUGAAAUGUUUACAGGCCCUUCCCAACAAUACAGAGACAAACAACAGGUAUAGACUAACAGUGAAAUGUUUACUAACAGGCCCUUCCCAACAAUACAGAGACAAACAACAGGUAUAGACUAACAGUGAAAUGUUUACUUACAGGCCCUUCCCAACAAUACAGAGACAAACAACAGGUAUAGACUAACAGUGAAAUGUUUACAGGCCCUUCCCAACAAUGCAGAGACAAACAACAGGUAUAGACUAACAGUGAAAUGUUUACUAACAGGCCCUUCCCAACAAUACAGAGACAAACAACAGGUAUAGACUAACAGUGAAAUGUUUACAGGCCCUUCCCAACAAUGCAGAGACAAACAACAGGUAUAGACUAACAGUGAAAUGUUUACAGGCCCUUCCCAACAAUGCAGAGACAAACAACAGGUAUAGACUAACAGUGAAAUGCUUACAGGCCCUUCCCAACAAUGCAGAGACAAACAACAGGUAUAGACUAACAGUGAAAUGUUUACAGGCCCUUCCCAACAAUACAGAGACAAACAACAGGUAUAGACUAACAGUGAAAUGUUUACUAACAGACCCUUCCCAACAAUGCAGAGCGAAAGAAAAUAGAGAAAUAAUAGAAAAGUAAAAAUCCUAUGAAUUAAUAAAUAAAUACACCAUGAGUAAAGAGAAAUAAAGAUAAUUAAAUACACGGGCUAACAGUACCCAGUCGAUGUGCAGGGGUACAAGGUCAUCGAGGUAGAUAUGUACAGUUGCUGUUGGAAGUUUACAUACACCUUAGCCAAAUACAUUUUAACUCAGUUUUUCACAAUUCCUGACAUUUAAUCCUAGUAAAAAUUCCCUGUUUUAGGUCAGUUAGGAUCACUACUUCAUUUUAAGAAUGUGAAACGUCAGAAUAAUAGUAGAGAGAAUGAUUUCUUUCAGCUUUUAUUUCUUUCAUCACAUUCCCAGUGGGUCAGAAGUUUACAUACACUCAAUUAGUAUUUGGUAGCAUUGCCUUUAUUAACUUGGGUCAAACGUUUCGUGUAGCCAUCCACAAGUUUCCUACAAUAAGUUGGGUGAAUUUUGGCCCAUUCCUCCUGACAGAGCUGGUGUUAACUGAGUCAGGUUUAUAGGCCUCUUUGCUCACGCACGCUUUUUCAGUUCUGCCCACAAAUGUUCUAUAGGAUUGAGGUCAGGGCUUUGUGAUGGCCACGCCAAUACCUUGACUUUGUUAUCCUUAAGCCAUUUUGCCACAACUUUGGAAGUAUGCUUGGGCUCAUUGUCCAUUUGGAAGAUCCAUUUGCGACCAAGCUUCAACUUCAACUUUACUGAUGUCUUGAGAUGUUGCUUCAAUAUAUCCACAUCAUUUUCCUACCUCAUGAUGCCAUCUAUUUUGUGAAGUGCACCAGUGAAGUGCAAGCCUCCCCAUUUUUCCUCCAAACAUAACAAUGGUCAUUACGGCCAAACAGUUCUAUUUUUGUUUCAUUAGACCAGGGGACACUUCUCCAAAAAGUAUGAUCUUUGUCCCCAUGUGCAAUUGCAAACCGUAGUCUGGCUUUUUAAUGGCGGUUUUGGAGCAGUAGCUUCUUCCUUUCUGAGUGGCCUUUCAGGUUAUGUCAAGAAAGGACUCGUUUGACUGUGGAUAUAGAUACUUUUGUACCUGUUUCCUCCGGCAUCUUCACAAGGUCCUUUGCUGUUGUUCUGGGAUUGAUUUGCACUUUUCGCACCAAAGUACGUUCAUCUGUAGGAGACAGAACGCGUCUCCUUCCUGAGUGGUACGGUGGCUGCGUGGUCCCAUGGUGUUGCGUACUAUUGUUUGUACAGAUGAACGUGGUACCUUCAGGCGUUUGGAAAUUGCUCCCAAGGAUUUACCAGACUUGUGGAGGUCUACCAUUUGUUUUGAGGUCUUUGUUAAUUUCUUUUGAUUUUCCCACGAUGUAAAGCAAAGAAGCACUGAGUUUGAAGUUAGGCCUUGAAAUAGAUCCACAGGGUUACCUCCAAUUGCCUCAAAUGAUGUUAAUUAGCCUAACAGAAGCUUCUCAUGCCAUGACAUCAUUUUCUGGAAAUGUCCAAGUUGUUUAAAGGCACAGUCAACUUAGUGUAUGUAAACUUCUGACCCACUGGAAUUGUGAUACAGUUAUUUUUAAGGGAAAUAAUCUUUCUGUAAACAAUUGUGGAAAAAUGACUUGUGUCAUGCACAAAGUAGAUGUCCUAGCAGGAGGAGGUAGAGACAUGGUCUGUCUGCCCAAUAUAAAGGAUCAAAACUGUCAGAGGAACAAAAAUAGCUGAAAUAGGAAAGUAUACCAGUUUCAUUUAAGGACCAGAAUGUUGACAGCUGUACCCUACAGGUUUCAAAAUAGCUGGGAAGAGAUUUUUUAUGUACCGAUUCCAAGCCACGGAGUGAAAGACUUCAUAUUUAAAAUGACGCAAGAUUUAACAUUCAUCUCAAAUUGACCCUAGAAAUAGCUUUGUUCGGUGAUCUGAUGAGACCUGGUCAGUCGAUUACUACUAUACUAAUACUCUUAGUAAAGGUAUUUAUCUUCAGCUCGCAAUCUGGGGAUUCUAUUCAAUUAGAUAGAUUCAAAUUGUAUGUUAAACAUCACAGCAUAGUUGAAAGAUGCACUCGCAUUCAAAUGCACACAUGUGCACACACACAGAUAUAUACACACAGAUAUACACAUGUGCACACACACAGAUAUAUACACACAGAUAUACACACACACACAUGUGCACAGACACAGAUAUACACACACAUACAUGUGCACACACACAGACAUACAGACACAGACAUGCACACACACAGAUAUACACCCACAGAUAUACACACACAGAAAUGCACACACAGACAUACACACAUAUACAUGUGCACACACACACAGACAUUAACACACAUUAUUAUCAAUGCAUAACCACUUUAAUAACUCUACCUACAUGUACAUUAUUACCACAAUUACCUCAACACCGGUGCCACAUUGACCCUGUACCGGUACCCCUGUAUAUAGUCUCCACAUUGACCCUGUACCGGUACCCCUGUAUAUAGUCUCCACAUUGACUCUGUACUGGUACCCCCUGUAUAUAGUCUCCACAUUGACUCUGUACCGUAAUACCCUGUAUAUAGCCUCCACAUUGACACUGUACCAGUACCCCCUGUAUAUAGUCUCCACAUUGACUCAGUACCGGCACCUCCUGUAUAUAGCCUCCACAUUGACUCUGUACCGGUACCCCCUGUAUAUAGUCUCCACAUUGACUCAGUACCGGCACCUCCUGUAUAUAGCCUCCACAUUGACUCUGUUCCGGAAUCCCCUGUAUAUAGCCUCCACAUUGACUCUGUACCGGUACCCCCUGUAUAUAGUCUCCACAUUGACUCUGUACCGGUACCCCCUGUAUAUAGCCUCCACAUUGACUCUGUACCGGUACCCCCUGUAUAUAGCCUCCACAUUGACUCUGUACCGUAAUACCCUGUAUGUAGCCUCCACAUUGACUCUGUACCGUAAUACCCUGUAUAUAGCCUCCACAUUGACUCUGUACCGUAAUACCCUGUAUAUAGCCUCCACAUUGACUCUGUACCGGUACCC